GCGGUUGAGAGGCGUGUCAGUGGGUGUUCACAUCUCCUCUCCCUUUCAGUCAGCUCAGGGUCCCUCCCCACAGCACAGCUCUGUUCCCAUUUAGGAUGAGUCUUUACACCUCAGGGUGGGCGCUGUCUCUGGUCCUGAACCUGACCUGCCUCUCCCACGAGCCUCAGGGCGGGAGCUGGGGGAAUUCCAGUCUGCAGCACUGACUCCAUCAUUAAUUCAAACCCUGAGAGGUGCACCAUCAUCUCGGAAAACCCAGAUUAAUGUAUAGGUCCAUCCUGAGUCUGGACUGGGUGCUCUCUGUGACUCGGAAUCAUGGUCUGAUAUGAGAGCAGAUGUGGACCCUGGACACCUCCUACCUGUCCACCUGGCAGAAUGGACAGACAAGGAACAGAGGCCAACUGUACCCUUUGAGAAGGACAAGGGUCUGGGGCACUCUCACCUGGGGUCUGAGACGUCCCCAGAAUAACAACUGAACCCAUGUUUGUGGGUACCCUUCUUACGUGACUCGUGGCUUCUGUUCAGAUCUGGAAGAAGCCAUCCCAGGGCCAGUGUGGCUUUGUAGAUGGAUGCAUAGCCUGCUUGCUGGCAGGUGACAGGGAGGUGGGACUGUAUUGUGAGGUGAGCCCGAUGCAACAGAGGCUGGGUGUUUUGCUGUAUUUCUCAUUCAUAAAGCACGGCCACCUGUUUCUUCUCUUGUUUUGUUAAUUUUUUUUAAGGCAAAGCGUUUUUGGAAGCCUAUUAAGAAACAUCAAAAUGAUUCUUGGGCAUUAAGCAGCUGUUAAAAUGUUUUGAUGGCUUUAAAAUAACAAAUAAGCUAGAAACAUAUGGAUUUCAUUUUUCUCUCGGUGUGUAGAUGGUUACAAGGCAAGUUAGCCACGAAAAUACGGUUUAGCUCUCCUCUUAUUUCGGGAGGACGCUAAUCACUAAACAAGCGAAGGUGGAAACAUCGUCAAAGUUAAGUUGUCUGGGGCACAGAUGGCUAAGCUCACGUGCAUUGGUCAGUGUAGAACAAAGAGUCGUGAAGAGCUCCUUGAAAACUAAGUUGGUAACUCAUCUACUUUGCACCGGAAUAUCGUCUGCAAAGAUCACUGAGAGAGUGUGCGUCUUCCAGAGUGGAGCGGCCUACCCCAGACUGGAAGUCUAACCAUGCGUCUAUGGUACAGAAAACCUGGAACACAUGAGGAAACUCAGGGGAUUGGCCACCUAAGGUCUGGACCUGGACCUGCAGCUUUCCUUCAUGGUUAGGUAAUGGGGCGUACUGGCUACCAGUUGGAAGGUUUGGGACUCCUCAGGACUUGCAACCUAUAGUGUGGAUAUGGUAUUGAUUAUAGCUACCAAGUGGGCAGCUGCACCUCAGGUUCCAGGCUCCCAGGUCAGGCUUCUGAUCAGUUUUGUUUCCUCUAUUGGUUUCCCCCCAAGGAGAUGUUUUCCAGGUUGGCUCUGUACCUUGUAUCCUGGUGUUCAGUGCGCUUAGUUCAUAUGAGGUUGUCUCUUGCAAACCAUCUCUGUGAGCCCCUGGAAAAGUCUAGUUGUUUCUACCAGGCUCAGGGAGAGACCUUGGAACACAGGAAUGACUCCAGGCACCGCAUUCUGAGUUCAUCCACAGUAUCCUUGCCUUAGGGGCUGGAAAUCGUGGCUCACAGGCAAGAGAUGCCUCACGUCUGCCUGCCUGGCAGAGCAUCCAGAAGAAGGGAAGAUACAACUGUGCAGACAGCAGUCAUUUUAAAUCACAGAGAGCGGGGUUGUGGAUUUAGCUCAGUGGUAGAGUGCUUGCCUAGCAAGUGCAAGGCUCCGGGUUCUGUCCCCAGCUCCGAAAAAAAAGAAGAAAAAAUCACAGAGAGCUAUUGUAUUAACUAAUGACUGUGAUGGCCAUUUACUUAUCCCUGGCUCAGCUUGUGGCAAGUUCCCUCACACACUCCAGGGAACAGUCACCAGGAAUCUUAAAUAUAGUUGGGUAAAUCAAGGCUAGAUUGUGUUAAUGACUUUUCUAAAAGUCUGUCUCUGGGGAUGUCUGGAUAAAGCCUGGAAGACAGGCGUGCCUACUGGGCCACAUUCUCACAGGAUCUUUUCAACCAGCCUGCUCCGUGGGUCAGCCACCCACGAGAAGUAAGUGUUACAAGCAGCACACUUAUUAGCCCAGAGCUUGAUGUCAGCUAUGACCGCGUGUUCAAACACUUUCUUUAAUAACUCACGUUAGAAACCAGAGAGACAACCUACUGGGUAAAGAAUUUGCCCUGCAAGCUAAGAUGAUCUGAGUCUGGAUCCCCAGAACCCACAUAAAGCCAGACGCAAUGUUUAUCUGUAAUCUUGGGGAUUCUACAGUGAGGUGGGAGACAAAGUCAGGAGAAUCCCUGUGGGCCAAUGAGCCUUGUGUACACAAUGGAGAGCAGCAAGAGGUCAGGUUUGAAAACACACCAGAGGUCCUCUGAUCUCCAUACACACACACACACACACACACACACACAGAGUCAGAGACAGAGAGACAGAGACAGAGAGACAGAGGCAGAGAAAGACAGAGGGAGACAAAGAGAGAGAGAGAGAGAGAGAGAGAGAGAGAGAGAGAGAGAGAGAGAGAGAGAGAUAUGUUAAAAAUAAAUAAAACAAAGAGUUCUCUCCAGAGGGAAUAUAUAUAGGAGACAGACAAGCCGAUAGCAUCACUGUCUGACCCCUCUCCUCAAACUCCAGCAUCAGCCUCUCCCAUGUAUUGCUUGCAGGGGCCUCUCGGUCCAUAGUUAUUAUUUUUUGAUAACUAAAUCAUCCAGAGUUCCUGGAGUGUUGUUGGAGGCUCAUCUGUUACAAGGUGAUUAGUAAGCUGGACUGAGUACUGAGCUUUGAGAUAAUGCAAAGUCCAUAGGACGGCGGACGGCACCAGGCUCAGAUUUGGCUGUGUAAUUACACACAUAGGGCUCAGUGCAAAACAAAAACACAGGGAUACUUGUUGAAGCAUUGUUAAGAAUCUCAAGAAGUAGGUGUGGGAUCAUGAGUUAAAGCAGGUCCUGGGCAAGUGUACUGGCCACAGGCUGGUACUGACCAGGGCCAGUACAUGGGUCACAUAAAGGGGCUCAAGAUAACCGUACCAGAUGCUUUGAGAUAUACACCCUAUAUACACGAGCAAGCCAAGGUUUCAAGAUGAAAUCCUGUGUCCAAAUCCCCUAACUAACACAGCUCAGACAUCACCACCCCCAAGGAACCAUCCCCAGUGGCCUGGAUUUCAGUGUUCUUGCCAACUACUCAUUCCUUUUGCAAGUAGCAUUGUCAAACUUACAAUUAUAUAAAUUUUUGGAAGCAAUGUCUCUUUUUGUAGACCAGGAACUCAUUAAAUAGCUCAGACUGGCUUCAAUCUUCUGAUUCUCUUGCCCUAGUCUCCUUGUACUAGGAUUAUUGGUAUAUACCACUGUAUCUAUGUUAACGAAUAUUCACUUUGGUAUGAGAGUAUAAGAAAACACCCUUUAUCCUAGGAGAUGGAGAAAAUAAAGCACAAAGAGGCACAUUAUAAUAACCCUGUGGUAUUACUGUGUAGACAUCCUGGUUUUAUCUAAACAUCUAUUAUAAACGAAGUAUACAUUAUAGAUAGGUAGACAGGUUUAUGCAUAGAUAGUGGGUGUUCAUUGACUGGUAGGUAAGUUGGUAGAUUGACUAGUUGCUGGAAAGGGUGGGUUGACAGGUAUGAACAAACACAGGUGUUUCUCCUGGCCAUGACAAAAUCCCGACAGAAGCAACUGUGCAAAGAGAUGUUUACUUGGGCUCAUAACUUUGUGCCAAGGGAGACAUGUUUGUGGCUGACAUAGCUUGGUCUGCAAUGGCGAGCUCACAGCACGUGGCUUGUUCACACCUUGGUAUACAGAAUGCAGAGAGAAUCGGACCAGAAGCCGAGCUGGGGCAAGCAUUCAAGGGUUACUCAUGGGGGCCUCCUUCUACGGACUAGGACCACCUUUUCAGGGAUUGUACAACCUCCCCAAACAGGACUGCCAAGUGUUAAAGCACAGGAACCCAUGGGAUACAGUUCACGUUCAAGCCAUCACAGAUCAAGGUAACAUCAGCCACCAGUUUCCGUAUUGUUGGAGCAGAAGCAUCGGGGUAAGCUGGGGGCAGCCAUUUUAGCUUCUGUAGAACACGAGUGCACAUGGCUUAUCUCUCCCUUGUGUGCACGCCAGUGACUCACUGCCUUCUAGCUACAGGCAGGCCCCAGUCAGAGAAACCUAACAUUUCCACCCUCCUUCGUCCUGUUUCAAAGUGCUUGGCCCUGGAGUUGAUGUCCAGUGGUUUUAUUAAGGCGUUGGCACCUGGCUGGUCCAUGGGCUGUGUUUGUAAGUCUUGUGCUUUGCACAUGAACUGUAGAUAUACACACCGAGUAACUACAACGAAGCUUGCUUUGAGAAAUGACCUGAUUAUAAUGACACAAUGCUAAGGCAGGAGCCUUCACCCGCUGGUCCGUGUUUCCCUCAGAUCUCUCUUCUGAUAAGUCUACUCCCAGCCAGAGUGACCUUCCGCCCCCAUCACCCCUCAAAUCUGCAGUCUCUACUUCCAAAUAUGCCCAUCAGUGAUUCACGAGGAGCUGCCUGCUUGAGAAAACGCCUGUCACCAUUACCCAAUCAUUUGCCGUGAGAGGCGCCAGGGCCUUUGAUACCCAGGCUGCUUCGGCCGAGAAAUACAGAGAGUUCCAUAUAAAAUCCUGAGGAGCAGUUUGCUUCCCAAAAACAGGGGAAAGAGCCAAGGUAUUUUUUUUUCUGCUCACCAACACAGUGUGAAUGGAUGAGGGGUAUCAAAUACCGGCUAGGCUGCAGGCUACUGAGAUAGAAUCAUAUAGACCGAGCUAGCUCUUUGUCUCAGAAGAUUCUUUGGGGUUCCGCCCACUUCCGGUCUACUUGGCAGUCAGUAUCCUAUGAGACCUGUGCCUUCCUGCUCUUCCUGGGGGCCCACACUUCCUGGGACUGUGAGUCUCAGGCGCUUGUCUCUGUGAGCUUAAUAGAAUGCUAGGUUUCCAUUGCAAACCAAAGUGGACAUAUGCUGUCUGCCUCUUCCCUGCGUGCACGCCAGGAGUUCAUAGACUUAAUUUGUUGGCUGGGAGAAGAAAACGAAGAAGGCAAAAUCCACGGACCUCGAGUGUCUUCAAGGAGAGCUACGGGGACUGAAUCUGAAAACACACCUUGGAGAAGCCAUGGCUGAAGGGUUUCCUCGGGGGCUGAGGCUCUUUUGCGGAAACCUGUUCAAUGCGCUGUCAGCGGGCACAGUAAAACCAGCGUCUGGCACUGAGCAAUGGAGGCCCCGGGGACACACACACGUCAAAAUGCCACCUUCAAAAUAACUAGCCUUUGAGGACAAUUGAAUUGAUUCCUGGGUGCAGAGUCAUAAUGGCAUAACCCCGAGUGAUUAUUGCUUCGUUUAUGGCUUUAUUUUUUCAUAUAUACACAAAAAAGAAUUACCUUCUCCAGAGAGGAGCUGAACUAAUAAGCAUUGCUCAUAGAUAUGCUCAUUUUCAACCCCUUUCCCUUAAACUGUGAUUUGGAAUUCGAAGCAAAUAGCUGCUAGGGCUUGCAAUGAUUUAUUUAGCAGUGCUUUGAGCCAGGCAAGAAGUUAGAUGAAUUGAAGGCAGUGAUGGAUUUGUAGACACUGCUGUGGCUGGUCACUUGACCCCUGACCCUAAGCCAGUGCAGCGUUGUGGGAAGAAGUCAGGGAGGACUCAGGUGACAGUCAUCCUCAGCGGCAUGCCUGGCGGUAGACACCAGGAAACCUGGUUGCUUCUUCUGUGUUUGUAUUUGCUCACCUGAGGUUCUGUCUCAACACCCAGGGUUCUAAUAAACUGUCCAUCGCUGAAUUGCCGAGGGAGGGAAGGGGGCAUGGAAAGAGAGGAUGGGAAAGAAGGCAGAAAUGGCUGCUGGGAGGGUCAGCUCUAUGCUCUGGUGAUGAAGAAGUGGUCUUCUGUGAUGUCCCCAUGCAUUCAGUUCUCAUUCCACCCGGCAGGCCCACCCACCUCAGUGUAUAUAGCUUGACUGUGCCUCCUGAAGACAGGAGCUGUAUACUGAUCAUUUCUUAGGCUUGCAUAUGCCCCUUCAUUAUAAUUUGGAACAACAGAGAAAGACAAAAGGGUGUGCCGUAUAAGUCAAUAAAGUACCCGAUUGGGUUACGUGCAGCCAAGGAAAUGAGUGGAGUGUGUACAGAAGGCUGGAAGUACACAGGGACAAGGUGCCGGCUAUGCCCUCAGCUUGCUUCUCAUCUAUUGGGCGUGACAGGUUUGAGGCAGCUCUGUGGAGCAUGAAUCAGGAUGCCAGUCACUGCUGGAUCUGAGGACCUGGAAAGGAAGUGUGAUGUCUUCGGAACAAAGUUGGGUUGUGCUGUCAAACUUCAGAAAGCAUCCACGCACCCAGUGUCUUCCUGGGAAUCAUCUGUGUGGUUCCGCACUCUUCCUAAUGGCUUCCUGGUACUGAGGCCUCAGCUGAGUGGGCGCCUUGCCAGGGAGUCAGCUGUGACAAAUGUGGUCUGUCGUGGACUCAGCCACGUGUGAGCUGAAGCCGGGCUGCAUCCUGCUUGGGUUCACCUGAGGUCAGUGCCAGACACAAGGGGAGGCCUAUUGCCCUACAUAACAUUUUCCUUCCCCAUGAGAAAGCCUGUGGUGGUCUGAUGUGCUAGCGAUAUAAAUAGACAUGGUGGAGCUUGAAGCAGAUGUCCAGAUAUUGGGAAAACCUCAAUGCCUGCCUCACAACGAAGUGUGUGUGAUUAUGUGAAUGUAUGUAUGCUAGUGUAUGUGUGUGUGUGCAUGAGCGCAUGUCCAUGCAUGUGUGUCUUUUUUCUGUUUUUCUCCUCUGUGUAUGAUGUGUUCAGUUUUUGCUUGUGUAUCUCUCUUUUUCUGUAUGUGUGUGUGUUUCGGCUUGUGGUAGCAUUCGAAGAGAACUGGAUUGGGUAAGGGAGUGUUUAAAAGCAGCAGAACUCUCCUGAACUUGGAUCUGAAGAUGUCUGGUGUUCUUUGAAAAGUCCGAAGUAGAAGCAGAACAACCCUUUGGUCUGCUGGUACCCCACUUCUUAUUUCAAAAAGAUGGCAGUGUUCAGGCUGGGCAUGGGGGAUGGAGGUGAGGCCACCAUUGCCAGUUUCCUUUGGGGGCUCAGUAGAUGUGUACCAAGCCCCUUCUCUGAGGCAGGAGCCAAAGCUGGCAAUGUUAUCUACUUUUGAUGAGAUGCCGUUUCUGUCCUCAGGGUUGGAGGGAAGGCUGGGUAGGAAAUGGAGUCUCUGGAAGAGGCGUAGUUUCUGCAUGAGGAACAUGAGGGAGAUGUGGUGAUCUGGAGCCAGCCCAGAGCUGGACAGGCAGGAGUGGGAAAUGUGUUCCUGAUGCAGAGAAAGGCGGCAGAGGAUGGCGUUCUUGGCGUGAGGCUCUGUGUGUUUGAGCUGCACAAACCGUGGACUCUGCAUGAGGACCAAAGAGGAAACGGUUUCUCAUGGUCCCAGAGGCUGGGGAGUCCAAGGAGAAAGAAGUCACCUUCUCCCUGUGUCUUCACAUAUCCUUGGUGCAUGCAUGAGAAAACUCUUUUCUUAUAUGGUUGCAAAUUCCACCAUGAGGACCUGCCCUCAUGGUCCUUGUCUGACUCCAGUCAUCUCCCAAAGCCCUGCAGCAAUGGAGGUAAAGGCUUCAGAGUCUGAACUUUGAGAGGAGGGAUAUGCCCAGGCUGUGUGUGUGUGUGUGUGGGGGGUCGCAAGUCAUGGGCAGCUGAAUCUGGCCUGCCCCUGGAGAGGAAAGCAGGCCUAUGACAAACAGGGAGACUGUUUGUGCAGGGCACUCCUGAAUCUUAUGACUGAAUUUCUCACAAAGAACAAAGCUUCUCUGGAGGGCUUGGAAGCAUCUGAGAGGGUGGACAUCUUCCCAUCAGGUGCAUGAAGGUGUAAGAAUUCAGGGAGACAUCCCCAGGUUUGCUCCUCUAAGAUGUUGUCUGGGUUCAUUGUAUGGGGUGGCCAUAUCUGUGUGUACAGAAAGGCUUUUCUCUCCAGUUUCCAAUGAUGUGGCCAGAAUGGUGCUUUGGGGGUGGACAGAUGAGCUUCCCAGUACUUGGGAUACACAGGACAGUCUAGUAUCAGUUUCUGGAUAAUAGGGAUGUCAGGGGAGGGGAAUACUCUAGAAAUGUUGAGCUGACUGAGUCCUGUGCACAGAAGGCAAUGGACUCUUUAGCACACAGACAUAACAGUGUCUGAAACCCUUUGGUAGCAGGGAGUGGAUUUACUGUCCCUUGGUGACACUAGGUGGAUCCAAUCUCUCCCUCUGGUUUCUUCCAGGAAGCAGUAUCCCUAGAAUAGCCCAGCUCCAAGUGACAAGCUCCAGCUUCUUGUAGGUGGGGUGCAGGUGUGGAAGGCUCACCUCAGAGACAUGCCCAGAAAGCCCUAGAAGAAAUUUCACUGAAGAUUGAAAACAAUGAAAACAGUCUUGCUCUCUAAGGAUCUUCAGACUCUGAAAACUGCCUCCCUGCACCAAGGAACCUGGAACAACUAUUUUAUGGUCACGAGGUCCUGGUAUGUGCAUAUAUACUCAGAGGUCAAGGCUCCCUGCACCUAUCUUACUUAAGGAUGUUUCUGUGGCAGCCGCAAGACCGUCUGAUGCCGUGAGCAGAGGUGCAGGCACCACCCUGCUGCUACCUUCCAGGCUACAGGCAGAUUGAGGCUACCAGCAACUGAGCCCCAACCUCAGCUCCUUGCCACCCUCCUCUCCUCAGCUGCUUAUGCCCUUCCUCAGCACUUGCUCUGCUGUUGUGUUGACUUUGAUUUCACCUCAACUUGUGGUGUACCACUACAGCUGUGUGAAGAGAUUUUAUUGCCUGCUUCUGCUCCAAGUUGCCCUGCACUCAGAGAAUCUUGUGGCUUUCUAUACAUCCAAAGUAGACCCCCUCAACUCUGCCAGAGCACAGACUUCCACACCAUGUCUGCUCCCACUCACCCUGUGCUGUCAGAACGUCUUCCUGGUCUCACUCUCAGGGCUCAGGCUUGGAGUGGGACCAGGCAUUGGGCUGAACCUGGGAGCCCAAGUCUUCAGGAGCAUCGAGCUCAAGCUACUGGUUCCUGUUUCUGUGACAGAAUAACUGACAAAAGCAUCUUUGAGGAGGCAGGAUUUACUCUGGCAUAUAGUUCAGAGAAUACAGUCCACCGUGUCAAGGAACCACAGCAGCUGAGGUGGCUGGGUCUGUGUGGUGGUUUUCACUUUAGUGCACUCUGUUUGGCCCGAUCCAGCUUGUAGUCCUCAAGCCCUGCCUGUGCCCCUCCCUGCCAUUCAGAAGUUUCCACAAACCAACAAGAGAAUGCCACUAGCUAGGGACCAAACGUUGAAGCCACAACACUGGGCCACAUUGCUCACUGGUCACUGAUAGGUGUGCCUUGUGUCUACAGUGAGAAUGCAGUAGCAAAACUCAUAACUUAGUAGUGGCAACCUGUGCCCUGCACCUCAGGCUUUGGCUGCAUUCUCUUGUCCUCUCCUAUUUUUUUCCCUUCAUGUCCAUCCGGAUUCUCCUGUCCUCAGAGACAUCACCUUCCUUUUCACCUCCUUUCUGCUGGCCCUCUGUUGUAUGCCAAGCUUCCUCAGCAUGGGCGAUCUGUGUGUGAGGGUCUCUUCCCCUCGCCCUCUUAAGCCCGAGUCAGCUUGUUUGCAUCUGGACAAAGGUUUGCACCGUGGAGUUGCGAGUUGUUCCCCAGAAAAGGGUCUUCAACAUAUUAUGGCUUAGGAGCCCUUCAUUCAGAUCGAGAAGAGGGAAGGGUCUCACCUAUUUUUGCUUUGUACCCCCUAAAGCCUUUUGAAGACACUCUUAUGGUAAGAGGAAUCAGAAAGUGAUCACCAAGAUUUGUGCUGCCUGCUGGACACACACACCUUCUCUGGGCUACUCAGAUACGAAACUAGACAACUCUGAUGAUAUUGUCACUGAGAAUCUGAAUUGGCUGACUUUAAGGAAAGAUCAUGGCCCCGAGUGGAGUGAAGCUACUCAAUUUAGUGUUUAAAAAAGCCUGGUGUCCUCCAUGCAAGAGACAAGCAAAGCUUGAGUGAGGUUCAGUUUGUAAGGACCCGUGGAAGGGCACACACGGCAAGAUUAAGAGGCACCUAAGGAGAGCUAAGGAAUGGAACUUGUUCCUAGACAAUAAACAAGAGAAUGGGGGUCUCUGUGAUGCAUCCUAAA